rnacentral:rRNA from 1 species
GAAGACAACCAUAGUAAUUUGGUAACACCUGUUCCCGUUCCGAACACAGAAGUUAAGCUUAUUACGUCUCAAAUUAGUUUCGAAAGAAGCGAAACCGAGAUGUUGUCCUCG